AAAUGCGAUAAGUAAUGUGAAUUGCAGAAUUCCGUGAAUCAUCGAAUCUUUGAACGCACAUUGCGCCCUCUGGCAUUCCGGGGGGCAUGCCUGUCCGAGCGUCAUUACGCACCCUCAAGCCCGGCUUGUGUGAUGGGCCCCGGCGUCUCGUUCGCGAGACGGGCCCGAAAGGCAGCGGCGGCGUCGACCCGAUGAGCCCGAGCGUAUGGGGACUUCUGUCACACGUUCGCGGUGCGGACCGGCGCCUGCUUGACUUUUCUGAUUAUCCAGGUUGACCUCGGAUCGGGUAGGGAUACCCGCUGAACUUAAGC
rnacentral:misc_RNA from 1 species